UUGGGGUAACUUGACAAAUUCCUGGAGCCCGUGAAAAGGGAGACGGCGUCCGUACCGAGAACCGACACAGGUGCCCCUCGCUGAGAAGGCGAAGGCGUGUCGGAGUGAAUUGUGUUAAGGGAACUCGGCAAAUUAGCCCCGUAACUUCGGGAGAAGGGGUGCCUGCCUGGAGAUCAGGCAGGUCGCAGUGACCAGGGAGCUCUAACUGUCUAAUAACAACAUAGGUGACUGCAACUCGGAAACGACUAGUAUAGUCACUGAUUCCUGCCCAGUGCGAGUAUCUGAAUACCGGGUUCAACCGGACGAAGGACUCGUAAACGGCGGGGGUAACAAUGACCCUCUUAAGGUAGCGUAGUACCUUGUCGCUUAAUUGGCGACUUGCAUGAAUGGAUUAAUGAGAGCUCUACUGUCCCUAACACAAGCCCGUUGAACCUUUUGUCCUAGUGCAGAGACUAGGGACUCCUAUUGGGAAGUGAAGACCCCGUGGAGCUUUACUGCAGCCUGUCGCUGAAUUACGGUAUUACAUGCGCAGUGUAGAUGGGAGGCGUUAUAUCCGUUUCUCUCGGGAAACGGGGAGCCAACAAUGAGACACCAUCCUUGUUUUACUGUAGUUCUCACUCCAACGAGGACAACGAUAGGUGGGCAGUUUGGGUGGGGCGCCACACCCUCGAAAAAAUAUCAAGGGUGCCCUAAGGUCAACUCAUGUGAGUCAGAAACUCACAGAAGAGUGUCAAGAGCAAAAGUUGGCCUGACGCGAUUGCGCUUAGCAAGCAAUCGCGAGAGGAAACUCGGGUCUAACGAACCAAUACGCCCUGUUGGUGGGGGCUAUUGACGACAGAAAAGCUACCCCGGGGAUAACAGAGUCGUCGCCGGCAAGAGCACGUAUCGACCCGGCGGCUUGCUACCUCGAUGUCGGUUCUUUCCAUCCUGGCUGUGCAGCAGCAGCCAAGGGUGAGGUUGUUCGCCUAUUAAAGGGGAUCGUGAGCUGGGUUUAGACCGUCGUGAGACAGGUCGGUUACUAUCUAAUAGGAGUGUCAGGAGUCUGAGGGUAAGAAUGGAAUAGUACGAGAGGAACUUCCAUUCGGCGCCACUAGUCGAUCGGUUGUCUGACAAGGCAAUGCCGAGCAGCCCGCCAAGGGAUAAAAGCUGAAUGCAUCUAAGCUUGAAACCCGGCCUAAAAAGAGACUCCGUUGAGGACAUGGGUAAAAGACCCGUUUGAUAGGCCUGGGAUGUACGCACGAAGGCAACGACGUGUUCAGUCCGCAGGUACUAACGUCCAAAUCC
rnacentral:rRNA from 1 species